UUUUUGGAGAGUUUGAUCUUGGCUCAGGACGAACGCUGGCGGCGUGCCUAAUACAUGCAAGUCGAGCGAGUGAAAUUAAUUGAUCCCUUCGGGGUGACGUUAAUGGAUCUAGCGGCGGACGGGUGAGUAACACGUGGGCAACCUGCCUGUAAGACUGGGAUAACUCGCGGAAACGCGAGCUAAUACCGGAUAACACUUCGAACCACAUGGUUUGAAGAUGAAAGGCGGCGCAAGCUGUCACUUACAGAUGGGCCCGCGGCGCAUUAGCUAGUUGGUGAGGUAACGGCUCACCAAGGCGACGAUGCGUAGCCGACCUGAGAGGGUGAUCGGCCACACUGGGACUG
rnacentral:rRNA from 1 species